GCUUUUCUGACCCAGGGCACCUCAGAGCAGGAAGGGCUUCUGUCGCCCCCAGAGGACUCAGGGCCUCUGCCCUUGCCUGAGGACAGAGAGCAGAGCUGCGUUUCCAGCAGGUUCUGCCACCCGCCCCAGGGGAGACCUUGGGAGCCUUGCAGCAACUUGGUGUCUCCUGAGUUGCCAGAGAGAAGCUGCCUUGUUGCACUGAGUGUUGAGGAGAGGGCCCUGGGUGGCUUCCCUGGGCACUGGCCAGUCGGUCAGCAGCACAGGCCCUUGCAUCUUGUGGGCUGUUCCCAUGUUUCAUUACUCACUUUCCCAGACAGUAUUUGAAGAUGUAUUUUGCUAAAGGACCCGUGGAUCGAGGGGUCUCACGACAUCACAUCAUGGAUACCGUGGAUGGUUUGUUCCAGAUUCAGGCUUGUUUCCGGGGAGAAAGCCUAACAGAAACUCAGAAGACCAGGAGCUGCAUUCAGUUACGGUGUGAAUACAUGAAAUAUUCGUCUCAGGACCUUCUAGAAGAAUGAGCUGGGACCCACUUUCCGAGUCCUGCUGGAACCAAAGACCGAGAUAUUGCCCAGGUGUCUGAAUGCCUGCACUGGGGUACCUCCUUUUCUGAUGGACUGGAUUCCCGUAAGUACUGCAGUCGAUCUACCUUUGGACUUUAUCCUGUGUUGUAUCUUUCAGUCUGUUCACUUAAUUUUGUUGCAGUACUUUAAUGUUGAGGGAUUCAUAAUUGGAUUGAUUUUCACUACAUGGUAUGAGCUGCCGUUCCAAUUAUGACAGAAAGCACGGGCUUCCCGUGGUAGGUACUCACGAGCAAGGCUGAUAUCCUGGGCACUUGAGCUGAGAAUGUCACUCUGUCUUUUUGCCAGCCUUCUUCCCUACCCUUACGGCAAGAAUCUCCUUUUGUUCACACAGAAAUGUAGGUGAAGUCAGCAGAGAAAGGUCCCUUCUCUUCUCUUCCCUUUGUCUCUCAAACUCCCUGUCGCUACCUUCUGCCCGUCCCUUUCUCUGACUCAAUCCCCCAGGUCCACUGCUCCAAUCCAGCCAUGAUCAGGGCGUCCUCCAGCUGCUGGCUUCUGCUCUGGCCAUCCCUCAGUGAGGAAACUGCAGGGGGAUUAUGUAGUUCACGGGUCUGAUCAAGAAAUCUCUGCUCCUCAGAGCCCUCCCACACAUGGUGCUGUCUGGGGAGACCUGGCAUCCCGGGCGAGGGUCUGACUUCAUGUUGGUCUCCUCACUCCUCUCCCAUAGUCACUGCUGGUCCCUCAUCCUUCCCCAUCAUUAGAACUCCGCCAUUUCCUAGGGGCAGAUACCUGUCUAUCUGACUCCGAGGCACCAGGGAGUCAGUGAAUAUUUCUAAAAUAAAUGAACAUAAACACCCUAUAAAUCUAGACACAGGAAGUUCCCACCACCCUGGAAAACUCCCUCAGGCUCUCUUGCACAAAGGGUGAUGUUGCUACUAUCCUCUGUCGCCGCCAUUUCUGCCAGCUUGUUCCCUGUGUGUACAGGAACCCCACUGUGUGCACUCAAUGGGGAGUGAGAGUGGAUGGUCCUAGAAGCAGACGCUGACACAGAAUGGUGAAAGGUGUAUUAGGGGACAGUAGGAAGGACAAAGUGGAGGGGACAGGAUGGGCAGGGAAAGCAUUCAGGCAGAUCUGACACCUUCUUAAAAUAGAUACAUAAUCACUGUCGUCUGUCACCGUGCACAGUCCUCUUGAAAUUUCAAAAUAGUUGUCCUAUAAGGCAAAGAGAUUUAGUGUUAUUUCCGUCUUAUCUUAUGUUUUCCUACAUGCAUUCUGUCUUCUGUAGUUUGUCUGUGGCCUCAGAUGAACACUUUAGUGUGUGGCUGCAUCUGUGAGUCUAUACGUAAUGGAAAAUGAUUGUCUUCAGAUCUAGAUCUGUGAAUGUGCACAUUCUCAUAAUGAUCUUUUCUUUCUUUGUCUGGUAGGCCCCGAAUUUUAAUAGAAAAAUGAGGGACCUUGUCUUAUUGUUUAAAACAGCGAUUCCCAAUCCCUGGGCUGAGGUGUUCACAGUCUUAGUUUAACGAACUCCCAUGACCAUCUUUUUUUGAUGAUCAUUGUGUGGAGAUAUCUUAAUUGCAACUGUGAGAAGGGUGAGUGGACACUUCCCAGAGAUGUUGCAGAGGCUUUACGUAUUUAAUGUCUUCUUUUUAUAAUGUUCUUGGAAACAAAUAUUAACCUUGUUUUCACCGAUACCACAGCUGAGGCUCUGUGUAGGUCCCACUGAGAACUGGUAUUAGGGCUGAGCCAGCAGGAACACAGGCAAAGCCUCAGGAUAUUGUGAGAGAAGUCUGAGGAGAUGAUUCCACAUUGAGGAGGUCCAGAAAGAAUGAGGCAAGGUAGGAGACUUCCAAGUGGAGUGUGGUGUCAUCCUCCUUGAUGUAUUCCAGGAACACACUGGAAAAGGUCCUCACCCGUAAGCACGCUUAGCUUCUCAAGUUACCACAAAGACAUGCCUGUGUAAAACGGGGAAGCCCGUAGACUCGGGGUAAAGGUUUUGCAUUUGGAAACAAAAACAAAA